UACGAAGGGUGCUAGCGUUGUUCGGAAUCACUGGGCGUAAAGCGUGCGUAGGCGGCGAAUCAAGUCAGAGGUGAAAUGCCCAGGCUCAACCUGGGAACUGCCUUUGAAACUGGUUCGCUGGAGUGUCGGAGGGGAUGGCGGAAUUCCUAAUGUAGCGGUGAAAUGCGUAGAUAUUAGGAGGAACACCGGUGGCGAAGGCGGCCAUCUGGACGACAACUGACGCUGAGGCACGAAAGCGUGGGGAUCAAACAGG
rnacentral:rRNA from 1 species